rnacentral:rRNA from 1 species
CGGUAAUUCCAGCUCCAAUAGCGUAUACUAAAGUUGUUGCAGUUAAAAAGCUCGUAGUUGGAUUUCUGCGGGGACGGAGCGGCCGGACGCAACUUGCGUCUCGAGCUAGCGCUUUCCCCACAUCCUGCCGCGAACCGUGCUACCAUUAGUUUGGUGGCGCUGGGGAUCGGCUCGAUUACUUUGAGAAAAAUAGAGUGUUCAAAGCAGGCCACACGCCUUGAAUAAGUUAGCAUGGAAUAAUGACUAAGGACUUUGGUUCUUUUCGUUGGUGUUCGGGACUGAAGUAAUGAUUGAUAGGGACAGUUGGGGCGGUCCGUAUUCCAAAGCGAGAGGUGAAAUUCUUAGACCUUCGGAAGACGAACAGCUGCGAAAGCGUUCCGCAAGGAUGUUCCCUUUGAUCAAGAACGAAAGUUGGGGGAUCGAAGACGAUCAGAUACCGUCGUAGUCUCAACUAUAAACUAUACCAGCUAGGGAUCGGCCAACGUUUAAUUAUUCGACUUGGUCGGCACCUUAUGAGAAAUCAAAGCAUCUGGGUUCCGGGGGGAGUAUGGUCGCAAGGCUGAAACUUAAAGGAAUUGACGGAAGGGCACCACCAGGCGUGGAGCCUGUGGCUUAAUUUGACUCAACACGGGAAAACUUACCAGGUCCAGACAUAGGAAGGAUUGACAGAUUGAUAGCUCUUUCUUGAUUCUGUGGGUGGUGGUGCAUGGCCGUUUUUAGUCGGUGAAGUGAUUUGUCUGCUUAAUUGCGUUAACGGACGAGACCCCAGCCUGCUAAAUAGCGCGGUCGAGCUUUGCUCGGCACGAGCUUCUUAGAGGGACCAUGAUGCGCGAUAGCACAAGGAAGUUUGGGGCAACAACAGGUCUGUGAUGCCCUUAGAUGUUCUGGGCCGCACACGGGCUACACUGGCGCCUGCAACGAGCAUAUCAGCUGGCCCGAGAGGGUCUUGGCUAAUCUUUGGAACCGGCGCCGUGCUUGGGAUUGACCAUUGCAAUUGUUGGUCAUGCAACGAGGAAUGCCUUGUAAACGCGAGUCAUCAGCUCGCAUUGAAUACGUCCCUGCCCUUUGUACACACCGCCC